rfam:Aspergillus calidoustus genome assembly, contig: SCAF6
GCGUCAGUAGCUCAGUGGUAGAGCAACCGGCUGCAGUCCGGUAGGUCAUGUGUUCAAUCCACAUUUGGCGCU